rnacentral:rRNA from 1 species
UACGGGAGGCAGCAGUGAGGAAUAUUGGACAAUGGGUGGAAGCCUGAUCCAGCCAUCCCGCGUGAAGGAAUAAGGGCCUAUGGCUUGUAAACUUCUUUUGUACAGGGAUAAACCUACCCUCGUGAGGGUAGCUGAAGGUACUGUACGAAUAAGCACCGGCUAACUCCGUGCCAGCAGCCGCGGUAAUACGGAGGGUGCAAGCGUUAUCCGGGAUUUAUUGGGUUUAAAGGGUCCGUAGGCGGGCUUAUAAGUCAGUGGUGAAAGCCGGCAGCUUAACUGUCGAACUGCCAUUGAUACUGUAAGUCUUGAGUAUAUUUUGAGGUAGCUGGAAUAAGUAGUGUAGCGGUGAAAUGCAUAGAUAUUACUUAGAACACCAAUUGCGAAGGGCAGGUUACCAAGUUAUAACUGACGCUGAUGGACGAAAGCGUGGGGAGCGAACAGGGAUUAGAUACCCGU